rnacentral:rRNA from 1 species
UACGAAGGGGGCUAGCGUUGCUCGGAAUCACUGGGCGUAAAGCGCACGUAGGCGGCUUUUUAAGUCAGGGGUGAAAUCCUGGAGCUCAACUCCAGAACUGCCUUUGAUACUGGGAAGCUUGAGUUCGGAAGAGGGUCGUGGAAUUCCCAGUGUAGAGGUGAAAUUCGUAGAUAUUGGGAAGAACACCAGUGGCGAAGGCGGCUAACUGGUCCAGCACUGACGCUGAGGUGCGAAAGCGUGGGGAGCAAACAGG